GUGAGUGAUGAAGGCCCUAGGGUCGUAAAGCUCUUUCGCCUGUGAAGAUAAUGACUGUAGCAGGUAAAGAAACCCCGGCUAACUCCGUGCCAGCAGCCGCGGUAAUACGGAGGGGGUUAGCGUUGUUCGGAAUUACUGGGCGUAAAGCGCGCGUAGGCGGACUGGAAAGUUGGGGGUGAAAUCCCAGGGCUCAACCCUGGAACUGCCUCCAAAACUAUCAGUCUAGAGUUCGAGAGAGGUGAGUGGAAUUCCGAGUGUAGAGGUGAAAUUCGUAGAUAUUCGGAGGAACACCAGUGGCGAAGGCGGCUCACUGGCUCGAUACUGACGCUGAGGUGCGAAAGUGUGGGGAGCAAACAGGAUUAGAUACCCUGGUAGUCCACACCGUAAACGAUGAAUGCCAGUCGUCGGGUAGCAUGCUAUUCGGUGACACACCUAACGGAUUAAGCAUUCCGCCUGGGGAGUACGGUCGCAAGAUUAAAACU
rnacentral:rRNA from 1 species